GCGGGCGUAGUCUAGUGGUUAGGACUGAAGCUUCCCAAGCUUCUAGCCCGGGUUCGAAUCCCGGCGCCCGCA
rnacentral:tRNA from 2 species